rnacentral:rRNA from 1 species
CCUACGGGAGGCAGCAGUGGGGAAUAUUGCACAAUGGGGGAAACCCUGAUGCAGCGACGCCGCGUGAGCGAUGAAGUAUUUCGGUAUGUAAAGCUCUAUCAGCAGGGAAGAAGAUGACGGUACCUGACUAAGACGCCCCGGCUAACUACGUGCCAGAAGCCGCGGUAAUACGUAGGGGGCAAGCGUUAUCCGGAUUUACUGGGUGUAAAGGGAGCGUAGACGGCGAUGCAAGUCAGAUGUGAAAGCCCGGGGCUCAACCCCGGGACUGCAUUUGAAACUGUGUGGCUGGAGUGUCGGAGAGGCAGGCGGAAUUCCUAGUGUAGCGGUGAAAUGCGUAGAGAUCACGCAGAACCCCGAUUGCGAAGGCAGCAUGCCGGCUUCCGACUGACGCUGAAGCACGAAAGCGUGGGGAUCGAACAGGAUUAGAUACCCCAGUAGUC